UGUUUGAGAAGUAAUUUAUUAAAAAAAGAAUAAAAUACAUUAAGUAUUCGAGACUGCAGAGGAACUAUUCAGGAACAGCGAGGGUUUAAAAUAAAACAAAACGAAUUUUAGUCUUUUUUACUACUCUCUCCAAAUAGAUUCAAAACUAUACUGUCUUUUAGAUUAUUAUCAACUUAAUUAAAAAAUAAAAUCAAAUUAUAUAAGAAAAAAAUUUAAACAGUAGUCAUUUAAUCUUGAUGGUACAAACAGAGCUCAGAUGCCAAAAGCUCGUCAUCUCACGUUUACGGUUACGUUUAUGAAGAGUUGUGCAACCGAUCAGCCCACAGCAUCAGUCCGAUUGAUAAUGACCGUAGCUCGGUUGCAAACUCAUGACCGAUCGAUUGGCAUUUGACGGAGCCUUUGUCGCGCCGGGUGGGUGUUUAAGUGACACAGUAACUAUUGCGAAGCGAGCGCUAUCACAGGUACUGCUUCACCAUUCGAGUACUGAAGGCGAUUUAAGGUUCCGGGUGGAAAGUGAGCUCAGUCUGAGAGUGGGCGAACAACAAGUUCAAUUGCGAGUCCAAUCCCACGUUGAAAACUUUCAUUAGCCUGGCAGCGGCCUGACCUGGGUCCUUGCGCACAAGUGCUACGCCAGAUACUUUCAUCAGAUGAACUUCGGAGUCCACAGAUCCGCCGCCAGUUGUAGCCAAUUUCACGUGGCAAGUAACGUCCACGUGAAUGUGUUUUUCUACCGCCUUCCCACGGGUCCCUGGAACGUCUACAUAUUCUGUCUUUUCCUCGACUUGAGGUAGGUCAGCUCGGAAAACACUGGCUUCACCCAAAAGACCCUGAAAUGAACAGAACAAAUUUUUAUUGGUUUAUUUAAAAUUGCAACACUGUUACCUCUCAAGGUAAGUCGACAAACUAUUAUUGGCAGAUGGCCAGAGAAAUAAAUCGUACGCAUAUGAUCUAUGCUUCUGCCAAAAGCUACUGUGCUCUUUGCCAUAGACAAAAAUAAAUUGCGGAGUAAACAAUCCAAACAAAAAGCAAACGAGUUAGAAUUAUUCUUGCAUUUAAAUUGGACAGGGGCCAAAAUGCGGCGUCAGUCUGUAAAUAAAUAUGAAUAAGUAAACAGGUAUUCUACCCACCCCAUUUCCUGUAAUACUGAAUUUCAUUCCUGGAUGAAUGGCGCGUGGCUCCAUGCCUACACCUUCAGGAUGCGAGUCGGACCAGAAAUAGUUUUCAGGCGUGUUAAGCGAGUCAGGCUUAAAAGUGAUGCGCUUGCCGUAUCCCAUCCCAAUGGACUGCAACAGUAAGCUACGUCCUUCGAAAAGAUGUCUUCGGCUACCUGCUGGCCUUACGCGAUAGUGGAAGCCAGGAAUGAUACGAGGAUCGACAUAUGUGCCUAUAAAGAAAAAUAAAAUAAUGAAUUGACUAUGCGAUGGUAUACCACCAACCUAUCUCUUCCUGAGGGUGUUUAUAAGGAUUUACUGGAAAACAAGCAGCAGCGUUAUAUUGUUAUUAGCGCAUAAUACCAAUAACUGUAAUUUCAAACCAUACACUAAUGGCAAGUUUGAAGAAUGGAACAGCCGUCAAACAAUACAAACGAAACUUCAAUUUAAUGUAUCAGGGUGCUUAGUGGUAUUCACGUUGUGUGGCUAGGUUUGAUAACCACAUAACACCAAAACGAAAUAAAGUGAUUUAUAGAAAAAAAUCAAAAGAAAAACGGAAUUACGUACCGAUAACUGGAAGUUCGUAUUUUUCGAGCCCUACAACGCAAUACUGACAAGGAAUGUCUUUAAUAUCAGCGCCAUUUACGGUAACUCGUCUUGAAGACGACUGGAUGCCGGGCUUUAGUUCGUAACCCUUUCGGAGUUGUUUGAUCCCAAUAGCUACAUUCACAACACGGACGACAGCUGCAUCACCACGACCCUUCUUCAGAAUGGCAACACCAGUGACGGGCAUCAAUUUAAUGGCGCCAUCGUUUUCAUACCACUCGACUUUACAUAGUGUAUUAAUUUUAACUUUCUUUUCAAUCGAACCGUCUUCGUAGAUCUUCUGGUCAAACUCGACUUGAUUUUUCUAAGGAAAAUGAAAAACGUUAGAACACAAAAACGACGAGUCAAUUAAUAAAAUAGUGUUUUAAAAUAAAAGGUAAAUGGUAAAUGGUAAAUAUGAUAAAUGGUAAACGGUAAAAGGUAAAUGAUUUAAGUUAAAUUAUUUACCUGUUGCUCCACUACUUCCAAAAUGCCUUGCGGCUCAUGAUUGGCAUCGUAAAUCGUGAAUUUAUCACCAACCGAAACCGCCUCAAUCUCAAAUACGAAUCCUUCUGGUCUUGAGUCGGUCCAGAAGUAAUUGGUGUUUUCAUUGAGCGUCGAGUUGUGGGGUUCAAAUGUAAGUCUGCGAGCAAAUCCACGUCCUAUCGACUGCAGAGUCAAGGCUUUACCUCCGAACAAGUAUCUUGGCUUCACUGACAGUGGGGGCGCAUCCAAAGCCUGAAAUAUUGAUUCUAAUAAAAUGAACAGCUCCUACUGAACUCUAAUUUUCUUGAUAUAUUUAUUUAACUAUUAAAAUGAAGAACAUAAUAUUUUGGAAGAUGGCCGUUUCAAUGUCAAUUUUUCUAACAAUUAAGAUAAUAUUUUGAAAUUUUAAUAACAACCAUAUCUAUUUUAUAUGACAUUUUCGUUUAAAUAUUAUACAAUUGGUAUUUAAUUUUGAACAGAAUAACGUAUCACUAUGAUUAUUUUUUUGAGAUUUAAUUCUGAAUAUCUCUUUUUAAUAGGUUUUGAGCGUGCGCUGUUGAUAAGAAAUUAGUAUGUGAACAGGUUGUGACUGAAUCGAAAGAUCGUAUUUCCCUGAUUUCAUGCUCAACAAGCACAAUGAUAGUAAAAAUAAUCAUAGCCCCAAUGAGUUUCAAGAAAAAUCAAACAUGAUAAAUGGCAUAAAUGGCCUUAUGAAUGAUACUAUGGUUUACCUAUUAUGGACACAAUAUGCUGGCAUCCACUGUGUCACUUUCGACCUGUCGGGUCACCGCGUGGUUUCUUGAUUUUGUAUGAACGCCGCUCUGGGCGAAGUUCUGAAAAACUGGACGAUCCACAUACCAUCGCCUACAACGGCUAGCACAGAACCAGGCGACUAAACAGCAAGUCAACAGUGUUGAACGUUGAUGAUAUUUUCAUUCUGGAAAUGUCAGCAACGGACACCGCUACCUACUGAGCUAAUACCGGACUAACUAAUGUAACCGAAUCGUUCUGGACCACUGAAAUCGACCAGCUGACGAUGAAAUACCGAAUUUAAAUUGAAACUGCGGUAAACUAUCUCAUAGUUUUAAGAUUCAACAGUAGCUUUUAACAGCAUCGCGUGAGGAUGUCAUUACAUUGUAUGUUUUGUUAAAUAUCUCUUUAAAUACUUUGUUAUAUUUUAAAUCCAAUGAUUUUGAACAAUUAGAUGUUAAAUACGAUAUCAUAGAAUAACAAUUCUGACAAUUGGUUUUUUAUCAUUAAAGUAGGAAAACAAUAUUGCUGGACAUAAAUUAAAAAUACCUAUAAUAUACCUAACAAAAUUAUGACAGCCUCAUCAAAACAACGCGUGCAUUACCAAUUUAUUUCGAAAAUAACUACAUCCGUUUCAUUACAAAUAAUUUUUUAAAUUCAUUAAUAUCGGUUGUGAUUACAAAAUGGAACGUCACGAUAAUUCUUUUUUUUUUUAUCACAACAAAAACUUGUAAAUGGCAACGAUUGACAAAUGUGUAGUUCAUGUAAUUACUAGAAUUAUUCGUUACGUCCAUCAACAUUUUUGUAAGACAAGAAUUCACUCACCAUCCUCUUGAUUCUGAAAAGGAUUUUAACCUUGCAAAAACGUUCUGAACUAACCACAACCGAUCUUUUUUCCGGUCCGUUUUAAAUUAUUCAAUGACAUAUAAUAAUAAAAAAAACACUCUGUACAUGGUAAUGCGAGGUGAUUUUGAUGACCACGAUUUUGUUAAAAGCUAUCAUCUUAAAAACCAAAUACAACCAAUAUAGUAAGUACAUCGUCUAUUUAAGCGCGGUCGUUUCUUUUGCAGUCCAGUUUUUAAUCAAUUUUGCCAGUUUUUUUAAAAUGCGUAUUGGAUCUUCGAGGUUUUCCCGUUUUUACCGUGAAGCCUUAGAAAUGAUGCGCAAGCAUUUUACAUCAUA